CUCGUUCACCACCGCCACUGGUUCUUCACUUCAUCACAGUAGUGGUUCGUCGCCACUACACACUACCAGUGUCUCUAGUAGUUCCCUGGCACUACGCCACAACCGUACCAGUAGUGGCUCUUCAUCGCUACACAAUACCAAUACCAGCAAUGGUUCUCUGGCACUGCACCACAACAUUAUAAGUAGUGGCUCAUAUGAACUACACAACGGUGGCUCCUCGUUACUACACAACAAUAUCACCAAUACUGGUUCUCUCGUGCAAGACAACGGCAACAGUGAUCCUUUGCAACACCACCACCACAACACUCACUGGCAGCGAGUCCCCGGCACUACAUAGCAGUACUGGUGGCCACUCUCCACUCUACCACGCCAUCCAUCACUUGACCGCACUAUCAUCAACCCAUCUCUCAAAAUCUUCCAAGUCGGUGACAGCACACCGGAAGCUGGGGUCCAGUAACGUCUUGAAGCCUCACCUACAUGGGUGCCACUAAUCUAUCCUAGACAGAGUGGGUGCGGUGCGGCCAGUGCAACAAGGUGCUUGGUGGGCGGCGCAGCCUCAAGCAACACAUAGCUUGCGUUCACGCCCCCGCUUCCCCUGGCUACCAGUGCAAAUAUUGCCAUAAAGUCUAUAAAAACAAGCACACGCUGUUCAGUCACGUGAGCCAGUACCAUAGAUACACCAACUUGGCCCCGAGCGCCGCCCAGUAGUGAGUGGUGAGCCUUGAUUGUCUCCCCACACACACAUACACGCUGCUGGCACCCUCUACACCCGCUGCCACUCUAGUCACGCUCCCCACCCACCAUCCCCUACUACUACUACUCCCUCACUAGACGCCAUACACACACUCGCUCAUCCACAGCACACACACACUCAUAUAUACACUUCCAGAUUAUCUCUCGGGUAUUACGCUCCACAUUCACUUGCCGUAUGGUUUGCCGAGCAGGACCUUGAAAUGCCCCUCUUUUGUAAGUGAAGACCGUGUGCCAAAUUGUGAUCUUGUUAUGUAUUCUUGGCAGUGAUAAUAAAAGAGAUCAUGUCAUCCAGGCCUUUCCUUUACGCCUUCUAGUAAAACUAUCUUUCAUGAAAUGUCAUUUGGCUUUAUUUUGGUACUUCUGAAAUGUAGGCGUUUGUGAAGUAGUGUGUUGUGUUUGGUCAGUGGUGGAGGCUGGAGGUGGUACUUGUAGGUGUUGGGUGGUCCGUGUUGGUGGAGGCUGGCUCAGGUGUCACUGGUGGCCUUGUCGGUGGUUGUCGGAGCGGUGGAGGUGUAGUAGGGUGUAGGAGCGGUAGGGUUGGCAGGGUCCGCACUCACCGCCGGUGUUGUAUCGUUGCAGGCACGCCGGCCCCCAUGCGCAGCCCGCUCGUGUACAUACCAGUGCUGUGCCCCUUCUGUGGCAAGAAAAUAAGUAACAAGUACAAUCUCAAGACCCACGUUCGUAAUAUGCAUCCGGAAACCCUGGAAGCUUUGUCGCAUAUGGAGGAGAUGUAGGCGGGUGCCGAGGGCCAGACUGGUGGCCCGCUGGUGGCCCGCUGGUGCCCCGCCGGUGGCCGUGCCUGGCCGGACGAGGCCUCGCUCGUGUUGGUCAGCUGGCCCUACACACCACCUGCGGCCACUACCACGUGUCCACUCCUCCAGGCUCUCUCACUACCCCAUGGGUCGCCUCGCAGAUGGCUCAUACACCCAUCAAAUAAGAUUUAGUAGUGUAGAUUAUUUAUUUAAGAGUAUUGUUAAAUGAUCAAAACUUUUCUUAAACUAGUUAAAAAGAGUAGCAUAAGUAGUUAGCUUUGUUGCAGUUUGGUGCCUGGUGUGUUUGUGUUGUCUGUUGAUGACGUAAGUACUGGGUGUAUUCAAGAAGUAAAGGAAGAGCGCUUACGGCGUGUUGUCUUUGUUGCAGGGGCGCGGGCGUGGGUGGUGGGCGGGGGUGGGGCGGUGUCGUGCCCGGUGUGUGGGAAACGGCUCAGCAACAAGUACAACCUGCGUAUCCACGUGAGAGACAAACACGAGACGCAGGAAGGUUCCCGCCCCACUUGUGCCACCUGCUGCCGUACCUUCAAGAACGCCAACAGCCUCCGAGUGCACGCCAUCAAGCAGCACGGCCUCGUCAGCAACAGGCGCAGACUCAGAGCCAUCUACCACAACAGUGUGGCGGGCCUUCCUGCACCCUCGUCCACCACCUCACCUGUCUCCCAUACUCUCUCUCACCUCUCCACCACCGCCUCCAUCACACCCCACUACAUAGACCACUACUCUCAUGUAGCCAACACUCACGCCAUGGGCCACACCCACCAUGGAGACCGCCCACGCCUCGGUCUCUGUGAGGAUGGCCAGGAGGCCUACACCUCCUUGAUUGGCUCCUCUCACACUACAUCAGGGAUGGGCGCCCCUCACACCUCCCCAGGGGAUGGCUCACACCCGUCCCCUGCGGUGGGUUCUUCACAAGGAGUGGGUCAUCCUGAAGAGGCCAGCCCUCGCCUCACCUCGCCUACAUUCCGAGACACCAACUUACAUGCUCACAAAGGCUCCUAGGCCAACCUGUCAUCUCAAAAUAACGUCGCUUCUCGCUCGUAUGCGCGCUAUGGCCAAAAACUGACGUAAUUUGAAAUGAAAUCGACACACGAAAGUGAUGUACUGUCCCGGGGACCUUAACUUACUGUUUUUUGGAAAAAAAAAUCCGAAAUUUAUGUUCAAUUUUUUUUUUAAUUUUCAAAUUACGUCAGUUUUCGGCCAUACGUGUCAAACGGCUAAAUUCAGACGUAAUUUGUAAGAAGACAGGUUCCCUAGGCAGCUGGGAGGCCCCGUGGGCCAAGCCCCGCCGGCCACACCACCACCCACAGCAUGGUAUAACCUCACGAGACACUCAUAGUGAUAAGAGCCUCAUCAAACACCUGUCAUUCUCUUGGUUAUAAGCAGUAUAUUUGUGUAAGAUUUGCUUCCUAGACAUAUCGUUUUAGGUGAACAGUUCAGUAAGAAACUUGCAGAUUAACAGUAUGUACUGGAUACGUUUUUGUAAUAAAGUGAACUUUUAAGUAA